UACGGAGGGGGCAAGCGUUGUUCGGAAUUACUGGGCGUAAAGCGAGUGUAGGUGGUUGUCCAAGUUGGAUGUGAAAGCCUUGAGCUCAACUCAAGAAAUGCAUUCAGGACUGGGCGGCUAGAGGACCGGAGAGGAUAGUGGAAUUCCCAGUGUAGUGGUGAAAUACGUAGAGAUUGGGAAGAACACCAGUGGCGAAGGCGGCUAUCUGGACGGUUUCUGACACUAAGACUCGAAAGCGUGGGGAGCAAACAGG
rnacentral:rRNA from 1 species